UACUCCAUAUCUAUGAUACAAGUAAAUAUUUGAUUAACCACAUUUAAGGGGAGAUAAUUCUAAUGUUUACAAUCUAGCAGUAUUGUAUAAUAUUGAAGAUGGGUAUUUAUGAUUUUAAUAUUUGUCCUUCAGGUGUUAUAAUGAUAUUAAAGAAAUGUAAACUGGCUGCUUACCAAUCAGUUGAUGGAGCAAGACCUUUGUGAGGAAAUUAUUAAAAAGGGACUUGAAAAAAUGCAGAAUCUUAAAAGUAAAAUGAACAGAAAGGAAAAAUUCAAGACAGCCAAUGUAUGACAUAAGGAGAAGUAGUUAUGAAGUUUGAAAUUGGUAUGAAGGAGAGGUCAUACAUCAGAGAAGACUCAAAUCAAAGUGUACAGUAUGUCGAGAGAUGUUCAGAACAAGUUAUUUUGUUUGAAGAGGAAUCACAGUGGUCAAGAGUUCAUCCUAAAGUUAAUUGUAUUAGAAAUGAAGCACUGAACAUAGUCAUGACACAAUAAUUAAUAUUUAAUUGUUAUUUCAAAGACUGAAGUGAAUGUAAUAGGACUAGCAUUUGUAUGACUUAAAAUGUGGCACUUUUUCAUAUGAAGACUUGGAUGUAAUAAAAAUUUGUGUGCAUUUAAAGACCUGAAAAACUUGUACUGUCUUCUGCAGAUUUUAAAAGAAUUUGUUUUAAACUCUAAUGUCUGUGUAUGAAAUGAAGAAUGUUCUCCAAAUUAUUUAUGAUAAUGUGAUUUCUACCUUGAAUUUAUUAAAGCAACAUAAAUGUUAGACAAAGUUCUUUUUUCAUGACACUUAUUACAGAAUUAAUUCUUAUAUACUUAAUCUUGGUCCUUCCAAGCAUUAUCUUUAUUUCAUAGAUUCUAUGAGAUGGUUUUGAUCACAUUGUAUAUGCGUUCAUAAUGCCACACUUCUUUCAUUUGUAUAAUUGUAAGGACGUUACAAAUACUGAUUGAGGAAACAGGAGUUUCUCAUCAUUCUAAAGAAUAAACUGUAUUAUGUAUCUCAAUUUUUUGUAAACACAGAAAACUCCAUUUUUUCAUCUCAGCCAUGAAAAUAAAAUGUGGUAAAAUUGUCAAUGAGCCAGCUAUUACUGAGAUUAAUUUUGAUUAUUAAGAUUUAUAGCUCAUCAUAGAUUUCAAUACAAAAGAAAGGCCAAAAUAUAACAUUGAAAUACCAUUAGAUAUUAUUAGUUAGAAUCGUUUAUUGUUAAAGGGUCUGGUUUAACUGUAUUGUUGAGUGUCUGUCACACUGUGUUUUCUCAAUAUGUACAACUUGCUAUUGUAACUCCUUUCACAUAUUGUGUUUUUUAUCGUAACAACCCUGCAUAGACCUGAGGUAUCCACUUUAGGGAUUCUAUCGUACUGAAGAUUUACCAGGCAUUGAUUCACUGUUGUUUGUAAUUUUUUUAAAUAAAAUAUUUCACUUCUAUCCACAGGGAACGGUUUUUAUGUUAUAAUAUUGCUGAAGGUUCUUUAGAAGUUACAUUUUAUAAA